rnacentral:rRNA from 1 species
UACAGAGGUCUCAAGCGUUGUUCGGAUUCAUUGGGCGUAAAGCGUGUGUAGGCGGACUUGUAAGUACGUUGUGAAAUCCCAUGGCUCAACCAUGGAACUGCUUGGUAUACUGCUUGUCUUGAGCCACUUAGGGGCAGUCGGAACAGACGGUGGAGCGGUGAAAUGCGUAGAUAUCUACAGGAAUGCCGAUGGUGAAGACGCGCAACUGGGCUUGUCCUGACGCUGAGGCACGAAAGCGUGGGGAGCAAACAGG